rnacentral:ncRNA from 1 species
UAAAAAACGAUAAAAAGAAAAGUACAGGUUUGAUGAAAGCAAAGCGAGUCCCAAUUAGUGAAAGGGGAUCUGGAAAUAAACCUGGAAGUGCAUCUUGGAGUUAUAUGAUUGAACGAUUUUUUUCUUUAGAUCAUAUCGGGUUUGCCCGUUACAGCAUGUCGGUAUGCCCGUUCGUAUUUUGGUGCCAUACCGAAUUGAGAUACAUAAAGUUUCCCACGCAUCAUGUGUGGUCUCUUUAUGUAUAUUAAGGUGGAACCGUAAAAUUUCAUAUCUUGCCCUUAAG